rnacentral:rRNA from 1 species
UACGAAGGGGGCUAGCGUUGCUCGGAAUUACUGGGCGUAAAGCGCACGUAGGCGGCUCUUUAAGUCGGGGGUGAAAUCCUGGAGCUCAACUCCAGAACUGCCUUCGAUACUGAAGAGCUUGAGUCCGGGAGAGGUGAGUGGAACUGCGAGUGUAGAGGUGAAAUUCGUAGAUAUUCGCAAGAACACCAGUGGCGAAGGCGGCAUCCUGGACCGGUAUUGACGCUGAUGCGCGAAAGCCAGGGGAGCAAACGGGG